rnacentral:rRNA from 1 species
GAAGUGUUUUUUCUUUUGGGAGACAAAAGUGACCAGGUGGGGCCAGGUUGGUUGUUCAGCCCGGUUCCGGGGGAUGUUGGGUUAAUCCCCGCAACGAGCGCAACCUUUAUUGUUAGUUGCCCAGCAUUCAGUUGGGCACUCUAACGAGACUGCCGGUGACAAACCGGAGGAAGGCGGGGACGACGUCAGAUCAUCAUGCCCCUUAUGACCUGGGCUACACACGUGCUACAAUGGCGUAUACAACGAGUUGCCAACCUGCGAAGGUGAGCUAAUCUCUUAAAGUACGUCUCAGUUCGGACUGCAGUCUGCAACUCGACUGCACGAAGUCGGAAUCGCUAGUAAUCGCGGAUCAGCACGCCGCGGUGAAUACGUUCCUGGGUCUUGUACACACC